UACGGAGGGUCCAAGCGUUAUCCGGAAUCAUUGGGUUUAAAGGGUCCGUAGGAGGUUUUGUAAGUCAGUGGUGAAAGCCCAUCGCUCAACGGUGGAACGGCCAUUGAUACUGCAAGACUUGAAUUAUUGGGAAGUAACUAGAAUAUGUAGUGUAGCGGUGAAAUGCUUAGAGAUUACAUGGAAUACCAAUUGCGAAGGCAGGUUACUACCAAUAUAUUGACGCUGAUGGACGAAAGCGUGGGGAGCGAACAGG
rnacentral:rRNA from 1 species